AGAGCGAACGCUGGCGGCAGGCCUAACACAUGCAAGUCGAGCGCCCCGCAAGGGGAGCGGCAGACGGGAGAGUAACACGUGGGAACGUACCCUUUGGUUCGGAACAACACAGGGAAACUUGUGCUAAUACCGGAUAAGCCCUUACGGGGAAAGAUUUAUUGCCAAAGGAUCGGCCCGCGUCUGAUUAGCUUGUUGGUGAGGUAACGGCUCACCAAGGCUACGAUCAGUAGCUGGUCUGAGAGGAUGAUCAGCCUCACUGGGACUGAGACACGGCCCAGACUCCUACGGGAGGCAGCAGUGGGGAAUAUUGGACAAUGGGCGCAAGCCUGAUCCAGCCAUGCCGCGUGGAUGAUGAAGGCCCUAGGGUUGUAAGUCCUUUCGGACGGGAAGAUAAUGACGGUACCGUAGAAGAACGCCCCGGCUAACCUUCGCGCCAGCAGCCGC
rnacentral:rRNA from 1 species